GGCCCCGUCGUCUAGCGGCCCAGGACGCCGCCCUCUCAAGGCGGUAGCGCCGGUUCGAAUCCGGUCGGGGCUA
rfam:Micromonospora nigra strain DSM 43818 genome assembly, contig: Ga0070616_13